GACAGAGGAUGCAAGCGUUAUCCGGAAUGAUUGGGCGUAAAGCGUCUGUAGGUGGCUUUUUAAGUCCGCCGUCAAAUCCCAGGGCUCAACCCUGGACAGGCGGUGGAAACUACCAAGCUGGAGUACGGUAGGGGCAGAGGGAAUUUCCGGUGGAGCGGUGAAAUGCGUAGAGAUCGGGAGGAACACCAGUGGCGAAGGCGGCUUACUGGUCCAUAACUGACGCUGAGGUGCGAAAGCGUGGGGGAGCAAACAGG
rnacentral:rRNA from 1 species